rnacentral:lncRNA from 1 species
GCUCUACCGCUGCGAGUCCCCCGCCGCCGGGCCGCCAUGAAGCCAGAACCUGGACGUCAUCAACCCUCUCCCAGGAAUCACCCGCCUAGAGUCACAAGGCGGGAAUACAGCGCGCGUGCGUCCUGGAGAGAAGACGUCUACAAAGGACAGGGGCGGUACACCCCUCGAUAUUUGCAUGUUGCUGUGUGUUGUGGGAAAUCACCAUAACUGAGAAAUGUCUUUAGGUAUGGGAGUCUUAUAAAUGCUCGGCGGGGCCACCCUUUCCCAUAGGGCGGAGGGAAGCUCAUCGGUGGGGCUACGCGCUGANNNNNNNNGGGGGGGGAAUACAGCGCGCGUGCGUCCUGGAGAGAAGACGUCUACAAAGGACAGGGGCGGUACACCCCUCGAUAUUUGCAUGUUGCUGUGUGUUGUGGGAAAUCACCAUAACUGAGAAAUGUCUUUAGGUAUGGGAGUCUUAUAAAUGCUCGGCGGGGCCACCCUUUCCCAUAGGGCGGAGGGAAGCUCAUCGGUGGGGCUACGCGCUGAGUGCCUUAAGUCACUCUAUCCCAUGUCCCCUGGGAAGGUCUGAGACUAGGGCCAAAAGCGGCCCUAACAGGGUCCUCCCUGAGUUUCGGGGAGGUGAGUUCCCAGAGAACGGGGCUCCGCGCGAGGGCAGACUGGGCAGGAGAUGCCAUGGACCCCGCCCUCGAGGAGGGGCCUGGCGGAUGCCUCCUUAGCCGGAGCUUGGAAAAGACUCACGGCCAGCGAAGUGAGUUCAAUGGCUGAGGUGAGGUACCCCCCAACGGGGGGGCCUCAUAACCCAAUUCAGACUACUCUCCCCCGUCCUCCUUUUGAAAAAAAUAAA